rnacentral:rRNA from 1 species
CCCUUAGAUGUUCUGGGCCGCACGCGCGCUACACUGAUGAACGCAACGAGACCACCUGUACCGAAAGGCAUGGGUAAACUUGUGAAAGUUCAUCGUGAUGGGGAUAGAUUAUUGCAAUUAUUAAUCUUCAACGAGGAAUUCCUAGUAAGCGCGAGUCAUCAGCUCGCGUUGAUUACGUCCCUGCCCUUUGUACACACCGCCCGUCGCUCCUACCGAUCGAAGAGUUAGGUGAAUUGUUUUGAUCGAUAAGAUUUGACUAUGGUCAACUCUCGUUGUGAAAUUCUGUGAAUCUGACUGUUUAGAGGAAGGAAAAGUCGUAACA